rnacentral:rRNA from 1 species
ACGAGUGGCGGACGGGUGAGUAAUGUCUGGGAAACUGCCUGAUGGAGGGGGAUAACUACUGGAAACGGUAGCUAAUACCGCAUAACGUCUACGGACCAAAGUGGGGGACCUUCGGGCCUCAUGCCAUCAGAUGUGCCCAGAUGGGAUUAGCUAGUAGGUGGGGUAACGGCUCACCUAGGCGACGAUCCCUAGCUGGUCUGAGAGGAUGACCAGCCACACUGGAACUGAGACACGGUCCAGACUCCUACGGGAGGCAGCAGUGGGGAA